rnacentral:rRNA from 1 species
AGCAUGUGGUUAAUUCGAAGCAACGCGAAGAACCUUACCAGGUCUUGACAUCCUUUUGAAUAUACUAGAGAUAGUAUAGGCCUUCGGGACAGAAGAGACAGGUGGUGCAUGGUUGCCGUCAGCUCGUGUCGUGAGAUGUUGGGUUAAGUCCCGCAACGAGCGCAACCCUUGUCACUAGUUACUAACAUUUAGUUGAGGACUCUAGUGAGACUGCCAGUGAUAAACUGGAGGAAGGUGGGGAUGACGUCAAAUCAUCAUGCCCCUUAUGACCUGGGCUACACACGUGCUACAAUGGUCGGUACAAAGAGUCGCGAAGCCGUGAGGCCAAGCUAAUCUCAUAAAACCGAUCUCGGUUCAGAUUGUAGUCUGCAACUCGACUACAUGAAGUCGGAAUCGCUAGUAAUCGCGAAUCAGCAUGUCGCGGUGAAUACGUUCUCGAGUCUU